ACGAAGAACAAAAAAAGAAAUUGAAGUUUUUGUUAAAAAAAAUUUGGAAAUUCAUUUCUUUCGUUUUAGAGUUCAGAUUGUUGAACCGUUUUCGCCGACGUGAUCGUGAGAACGAGCUCUACAAUCUAAGGUACUAUUGGAGAUUGAGUUGCUCGUUGAGGUUUGAGAUUGAGGAUUCGUUAAGUUGUUGAAGACGCAGCUUGGACGAGAGGGGAAAAUCCUGCAGGUGGUAGAGACGGUGAGCAGGAGAAUUAAGGUGAGGAGCAGGAGGCUCAUUGGUGGUUCCACAUACUGUAAAGUGUGGUGUGAGAGUGUUGGUGAGUGUUAGACUUCCGCUGUGUGAAAUAAGCUCUGAGGAGCAUAUUAUGUAAAAUGAUGAUUGUUCAUUUAUGUUGUGAGUUUGUAAUGUAAUAUUUGACUCAGAAGAGUUGAGUCAUUAUUGACAUUGUGGUUCGGAACAGUGGUGUUGUAUCAAAAAAGAAAAGUUUAAAUUUCUA